GCCUCCUACCUUUCCUCCUCGCUGGAGUGUUGGUGCUGAGAGGCCGCGGCUGGAGGGAUGGAGAGAAGUAGGAUGAACCUGCCCAAGGGGCCGGACACGCUCUGCUUCGACAAGGACGAGUUCAUGAAGGAAGAUUUUGACGUCGAUCACUUUGUGUCUCACUGUAGGAAGCAUGUCCAGCUGGAGGAACUAAGAGGAGAUCUGGAACUCUACUAUAAACUUCUUAAAAUAGCCAUGGUCGAGCUCAUCAACAAGGAUUAUGCAGAUUUUGUCAACCUUUCCACAAACUUGAUGUGUGUGUUGAGGCUUAUACAAGUUAUUUGAUCAGUUGAAAAGAUUGAAAAAAUCUUAAAUUCACAAAGUUCUAAAGAAACCUCUGCACUAGAAGCAAGCAUGUAAGCAUUUUUUUUUAACUAAGUAGCACAUAAAUUAAUACUUCACAUCCAGUCUAAUUAGGCGGAGACGGCUUAGUUAGAAUUCAUUUCUGAACAAGAAGAAAAUCCAGGUUUGUGGCUAGAAUGUAGCUCCAGGGGAGUGGAGAGCAUGAAAUGGUGAAAUCUAUAACACGUUCCUAUAAACCCUUUGGUUAUAGACCACAGUUCCAACACGUCAUUAUGCUUGCAGUGGAAAAGUAUAUUUGGAAUCACCUUCCCUGAGGACUAGCAAAGUCCUGUUGAUCUUUAAGGCAUACCUACCAUUCAUCUUGGUUUUUCUCCAUCUCAUUUUUUUUCCUAGACAUGCCCAGAGUAUUACCAUUGAUGUAUUUUGCACCAGCAUUAUAUUAUUAUGAAACAGUAUAGGACACAUCCAGUUGAAAUUUACAAACAGGAAAGAAAAAGCUUAUGAAAUAGGAAAAAGAUGAUGGCUCUCUUUGUUAUACUGUGAUUGUCUUGUUCCCCUCCUGGUGUGAAUUUUCAAUCAUCCAGAGUAGAUGAGUGACUCAGAAAAUGAGUAGUGAGGUCCUGUCAGCACCGAGAGACGCACAGUGGUGCAGUGGGAGUAGCCGGGGCUGGUCCUGCACAUACCAGCUGGGCUGCCUGCGUCAAGUUCGCCUGGUGCCCUGCGUGCUCUGUUGUGUGAGGCUAACAGUCCCUCCCCCUGCAGGCGGAGUUAGGUUUCUAAAUUUUAGGAAUUAAGGUUUUAGAUUUGGAAGGAACUUGAGAGACCAUAUGCUCCACAUGUCUCAUGAUGGAGAUUAAGAACGGACACAUCCCAAAGGAAGCGAUUCUCUGGUCCUAGGUCUCUGCCCCCUUUCAUAUCAAGGCAUUCAACUAAGUGGUCAGCCUCCACUGUGCUUGUGUCUCUAGCCCAUUGCACUCGUGCUUCUGCCCCCGUUCGUCCACACUUAGCAGACAGUCUGUACGCGGCCCUUCUGCAGCCCAUGUGUCUCCAGUGGCUCUGCUUCGCUGCGGUCCUUGGCAGCGCCUGCAGCCCCUCCAGCCAUGUCCACGUUCGGCCCCUGGGGAGCUGGCCCUCCAGUGUUCUUCCCGUCUUUGCUGUUGCUGCUGUGCUCCUCGGAUAGAAACACCUCAGUGAGCUCUGUGUCUACAAUCCUGUCCCUUUGCAACACUGUCCUUGAUAAACAGACAUUGUGCACUUUAUUUCUCAGAAUUACCUUGGAGGACUUUUAUCUCCAGAAGAGCACCUCUGAGCUCUAGAGUCAGGAAAGCCAGAGCAGCGUCAGUGCACGGUAAAUCCAUCAUACUCUGCAGGCCCAGAAAUGCUGAGAUAAGGAUAAAUAGGAAAUGCGCAUGGGAUCAGUCAGUAGAGGUAGGGAUUAGGCUUUGGCAUUGGUCGCCGAGCGCUUGCCUUCCCUGCACACCAGUUCUGAUGCUCUGGGACGGGGCACACCGUGACAGGUCUCCAGACAUUUUGGGUUUCCUUACAGUGUGUUUCCUCACUACCUGACUGCCCAUCCUCAGAUGUGGGAUGCCUCAUAGAGCCCAGCAGGGGCUUUGGGGCCUUUGGUGGUUUUUUUUUUUUCUUUCACUGUUCAGCUUCCUUUUGAAUGGGGUUGACGCUUUCUAAUGUGGGGGGCAAGAGGGAAGUGUAUCCAGUCCACUUGAUGGCAGAUGCACUGUGAGUGAUUUCUCACCAGCUCCCGGAGCACUGCGCUUGCUCUUUCUGCCGUUGGGUAAAUGUAAACUUGGAGUCCGCUGCUCUGAGCGAUUUCCCAGGUUGCUGCUAGGCGGUCAGUUUUAGCUGAUUGAGGAGACAGCAGUAGUUGGUACUGGGGAGGUACUUGGGAGGGAGAAUGAGGCAGGCGGAGAAGAAGAGGGGGAUUCGGGUAUGAACGGUAGGACAGGGCAAGAGAGAGGAGGGGGUUAGAGAAUGGGAGAAGAAGGGCACGAAUGGGAGAGCCCGAGGAACAUGGUGGAAACAUGCAGUUGUACCCACACUGACCUAAAAUAGCUCCAUCCCAUUGCCUGGGCCCUGAGGCCCAGGCCAGGCUGCGUCGGUGGCUUCUAUGACCUCCCCGCUCCACACCCCUGGCACCUGGGGCCUGCUGCACAGACAGUUUGUCCUGAAAAUUGAUGGCGUGCAGGUGCAGGUGCCUGAGCGCUGUAAGGCAUGGGGGGCAGUGGGGGUGGCAGGUUUUAACUUUGGGAAUUACACUUCUCUAAUUGUUUCUACUAGCCCUCUCUGGACUAGACAGAUUUUGGAGAGAAUUGCCACAGAAUUUAACCAAUUACAGUUUCAUGCUGUUCAGAGCAAAGGCAUGCCUCUUCUGGACAAAGUAAGACCAAUAAGUGUUAAUUUCGAUUUUCAAUUUGCUGUUUGCGAAUUUCCUGGAUGAUUUUGGUUUGACCUAGCAUUGCCCCCUGAUAAUUGCUACUCUACAGGAUUUUGAAGCUAGCUUUGAAUUUUUUUUUUCAGUGUCUCCUGCUUGGGACCCUGCUUCCAUUAUGUCACACUAGAUAGAUUUUGUGUAAAGACACAAGCGUAGUCUCCAAACUAUGCAAGUAAAAUUAACUCUGAAUUUCAUGUAACUUGACACAUCAUAUGAUGUAGUCAGAGUUCAUUUAUCCAAAGCCCUUGACUGGGUUUAAAUGCACGUUUGUCAGAUUUACUCCGUAGCUUAAGAGGCAAAUAACUUUUUGUCGUUCAGUAAUUGUCUAAACUUCACUUUGAUGAAGCCGACUUACUUUCAAAGAAAUCACAGGGAGGGGAUGCCUCAGUGGCUCAGUCAGUUAAGCCAUUGCCUCUGGCUUAGGUCAUGAUCCCAUGGUCCUGGGAUUGAGUCCCACCUUGGCUUCCUUGCUUGGCAGGAAGCCUGCUUCUCUUUCUGCCUGUGCCUCCUUGUGUGCUUGUGCUCUCUCUCGACAAAUAAAUAAAUAAAAACCUUUAAAUAAAAAGAAAGAAAGAAAGAAAGCAAUCAUGGGGAGAAGAGAUUGAUUGUUAUUCUCUAGGAAAUGUUGGGAUUUUAAUCUUGCAUAUAUUCUGGUAGAAUUAGAGGCUCGCUUUAUAUAUAUAACACAUAUGUAUAUAAAUUAUACACAUAUAUUUGAGCUUUUAGAAACUGUUGUGCCUGGACCUUCUUUCCUGGUCUCUCUGUUCUUGCAGCAUAUAGCCCACAUUACAGCCAUGCUGCAGCAGUCCCUGGGAGGCCUGCUGCUAGAAGGGCUUCAGACUUCCAAUGUGGACAUCAUAUGGCACUGCCUCCGGACUUAUGCUACAAUUGACAAGACACGGGAUGCAGAGGCGUUAGUCGGUCAAGUACUGGUGAAACCGUACAUGGAUGAGGUUUGUGCCCCAUGCACCUCAUUCCGCAAACACAGAGCAUCUAAUCUGGCUUCGUUUCUUGACUGGGUGCGAGAGAGCUCAGGGCUCUUCCUUGAAGAUGCUCCUAGUUCCUGCUCUUCUGGUUGUAAGAAAAGGUGAUUGUAGAGCAGAUCGUUGAGUCUCAUCCGGACGGCCUGAAGAUCAUGUAUGCUAAUAAGCUCCUGAAGUUCGUUCCUCACCACUGCCGCCUUCUUCGAGAGGUCACAGGAGGAGCCAUCUCAAGGUGACAUAAACUGCUGUGUAUGCACCUGAGCUCAGUUUAGUGACCACCUGUCACCUCCUCAUGUGCCGCUGAUCCCUGGCUGUCCUGUCUGACCCGGGAACGUGUGCUCUUCCCUAUUUGUUACCAGUGCUGUGAGGCAGGUGUUGCUUGCCUGGGUUUACAGGGAAAGGGAAUGAAGAGUGGGGACAAAUCUCAACGGUGACAUUUGUGUAACUCCAGAGCCUCUGCUUUUCUCUUGUCUAUACUUUCUCCUUAACCAGGUUCAAAAUCAAAAUUGGUUUCCUUCCAUUAUUGUGAUGUCAUCAUCGGUCUAGAAAUACCAAUUCAUUUUAAUUCAACACGUUUUAUACUGAUGGCAAUUAAAGUCAUGUUCAGUUUUCCCUCCCUCUCUUAUUUCAUUUCCAUGGCUUUUCAGUUCUGUUUCAGGAAUAUCCCAUUACCUUCCACCAUCUCUGUCAUCCCAGUCCAGACCUUUGUCGCCUUUUGUUCGAGGGUAGCGGGCUCUCCCCACCUGGUCUCCCAGCUCCACCUGUCCCUCUUCAUUGCAGCCCUCCGCUGUCCCACCUUCCCAGAGCUCUGCAGCCUUCCUGAGUCGCUCGUGGCUUCUCAUCUCCCACAGAGGAGCAUCCAGUCUUCCUGGCGCAACCUGUGACCCAUGGUGCUUGAGUCCUAGUGGUUCUCCGCUGUAGAACUUUCUACUGUGGAACUUUCCCCCAUACCACUAUGGUUCCUGGCCAGACAGGAGCGCUUGACCUUCCCUAACACACCUGGUACAGAAGAUCCCUGACUUCACCUUGGUUCAGUUUAUGUUUUUUUGACUUUUUAUAAUAGUGCAGAAGUGAUAUGCAUUUAGUUUGGAUCUUUUCCCAGGCUGGCGAUCUACAGUAGGGUCCUCUUUUGUAAUGCUGGGCAGGGGCAGCGAGCACAGCCCCCAGGCAAACCACGUGAUCACGAGGGUCAGCAACCAACACACUUGAACCGUCCUGUUCUGGCUUUCAGUGCAGUGUUCAGUAAGUUACAUGAGAUACCAGACACUUUAUUGUGAAAUAGGCUUUGUGUUAGAGGAUUUUGCCCAACUGUGCAAUACUGUAAGUGUUCUCAACACAUUUAAGGUUGGCGGGGCUAAGCUCUGAUGUUCAGUCGCUUAGGUGUUUUCCAUGCAUUUUCAACUAAAGAGAUUUCCAGCUGAACAAUGGGUUUAUUAGAAGCCGAGGCCGUCAUAAGCCGAGGAACAUCUGUCUGUACUG